GGUAGUCCACGCCGUAAACGAUGUCGACUUGGAGGUUGUGCCCUUGAGGCGUGGCUUCCGGAGCUAACGCGUUAAGUCGACCGCCUGGGGAGUACGGCCGCAAGGUUAAAACUCAAAUGAAUUGACGGGGGCCCGCACAAGCGGUGGAGCAUGCGGUUUAAUUCGAUGCAACGCGAAGAACCUUACCUACUCUUGACAUCCAGAGAACUUAGCAGAGAUGCUUUGGUGCCUUCGGGAACUCUGAGACAGGUGCUGCAUGGCUGUCGUCAGCUCGUGUUGUGAAAUGUUGGGUUAAGUCCCGCAACGAGCGCAACCCUUAUCCUUUGUUGCCAGCGGUUAGGCCGGGAACUCAAAGGAGACUGCCAGUGAUAAACUGGAGGAAGGUGGGGAUGACGUCAAGUCAUCAUGGCCCUUACGAGUAGGGCUACACACGUGCUACAAUGGCGCAUACAAAGAGAAGCGACCUCGCGAGAGCAAGCGGACCUCAUAAAGUGCGUCGUAGUCCGGAUUGGAGUCUGCAACUCGACUCCAUGAAGUCGGAAUCGCUAGUAAUCGUAGAUCAGAAUGCUACGGUGAAUACGUUCCCGGGCCUUGUACACACCGCCCGUCACACCAUGGGAGUGGGUUGCAAAAGAAGUAGGUAGCUUAACCUUCGGGAGGGCGCUUACCCCUUUGUGAUUCAUGACUGGGGUGAAGUCGUAACAAGGUAACCGUAGGGGAACCUGC
rnacentral:rRNA from 1 species